CGCGUGAGGGAUGACGGCCUUCGGGUUGUAAACCUCUUUCAGUAGGGAAGAAGCGAGAGUGACGGUACCUGCAGAAGAAGCGCCGGCUAACUACGUGCCAGCAGCCGCGGUAAUACGUAGGGCGCAAGCGUUAUCCGGAAUUAUUGGGCGUAAAGAGCUCGUAGGCGGUUUGUCGCGUCUGCCGUGAAAGUCCGGGGCUCAACUCCGGAUCUGCGGUGGGUACGGGCAGACUAGAGUGAUGUAGGGGAGACUGGAAUUCCUGGUGUAGCGGUGAAAUGCGCAGAUAUCAGGAGGAACACCGAUGGCGAAGGCAGGUCUCUGGGCAUUAACUGACGCUGAGGAGCGAAAGCAUGGGGAGCGAACAGGAUUAGAUACCCUGGUAGUCCAUGCCGUAAACGUUGGGCACUAGGUGUGGGGGACAUUCCACGUUUUCCGCGCCGUAGCUAACGCAUUAAGUGCCCCGCCUGGGGAGUACGGCCGCAAGGCUAAAACUCAAAGGAAUUGACGGGGGCCCGCACAAGCGGCGGAGCAUGCGGAUUAAUUCGAUGCAACGCGAAGAACCUUACCAAGGCUUGACAUGAACCGGUAAGACCUGGAAACAGGUCCCCCACUUGUGGCCG
rnacentral:rRNA from 1 species